rnacentral:lncRNA from 1 species
AAAAUUGCAAACAACACGUUAUUCAUUGCAUACGUCCGAAUCGCUUUUCUAGAUUUAUCUUCGUCGGGAACGCUCAAAGCCAAAUAUUUGAAAUCCGAGGAUGUAUACGAACCGACACUGUUGAAUAGCUACAUGUAUGCAUCCAAAAAGUACCUUAAAAAUAGCCAAAUCAAUCUAAGGUCAUCUUUGCCUGAGGGAGUUAAAACCUUCGUUUCCUCAUAAUUCUAUCAUUUAAGCUGUAAGAAGGUCUGUACCAAGUCAGGAAUAUGACAGUUGUAAUCGAUUCGUUUGAUGUGUUUGAGCUGUUGAUUUUGCUAUUUGAUUAGGGACUUUCAAUUUUGAAUUUUACUCGGAGUUCAGUAU